rnacentral:rRNA from 1 species
UGUAGCACCUAUCUGAAGCUGUCCCAACAGAGGCUUAGCUCACAGGCUAAGCAGGUUAGGAUCUGGUCAGUACUUGGAUGGGAGACCUCAAACGAAAGCCCAAUAGCUGAAG